rnacentral:rRNA from 1 species
UCUGCCCGAAGAGGGGGAUAACCACUGGAAACGGUGGCUAAUACCGAAUAUUUUCGCAAGACCAAAGACGGGGACCUUCGGGCCUCUUACUAUCGGAUGAACCCAGAUGGGAUUAGCUAGUAGGCGGGGUAAUGGCCCACCUAGGCGACGAUCCCUAGCUGGUCUGAGAGGAUGACCAGCCACACUGGAACUGAGACACGGUCCAGACUCCUACGGGAGGCAGCAGUGGGGAAUAUUGCACAAGGGGCGCGGGGGUUGAUGCAGCCAUGCUUUUUGUAUGAAGAAGGCCUUCGGGUUGUAAAGUACUUUCAGCGGGGAGGAAGGCGAUGGGGUUAAUAACCUUAUCGAUUGACUUUACCCGCAAAAGAACACCGGCUAACUCCGGGCCAGCAACCGCGGUAAUACGGAG